GAGGGAAGUAAUAUUGUCACGUGAUAGUUUGAAUGUAUGUUCCCACCCAAUGUCAUGAGGAACUGCAAUCCCCAGUGUUGGAGGUGAGUCCUGAUGGGAGUUGUUUGGGUCAGGGGGACCUAUGGCUUGUUUCUCUCAUGGCUUGUUGCUGUCUUUGUGAUAAUCAGUGAGUUCUAGUGAGCUGCACCUUCCUACACCACUCUCUCUGUCUCACUCCUGCUUUCGCCAUGUGACUGCCUGCUCCCCGUUCACCUUCCGCUAUGAUUGAAAGCUUCCUGAGGCCUUCACCAGAAGCUGAGCAGAUGCUGGUGCCAUGCUUCCUUUACAGGCAGAUGCCAGGCAGACGUCACUGUGAAUCACUGUGCCCAGCAAUGAAUAAUUCUUUACAAGGGGACAAACCCUGUCUGGACAUGGUGACUCAUGCCUGGAAUCCUAGCACUUUGGGAGACUGAGCUGUGAGGACUGCUUGAGACAAAGAAUUAGAGAACAGCCUGGGCAACACAGCAUAAUCCUGACUCUAUUACUUAAAAUUCUAAAUAAAAGUCUGAAAAGCAGCAUUUCCCACCUAUUCUCUCUGAGGGAGCCUUCAUCUACAUAACAAGGUCUCCUUUGCUAGCCAAGCUUCUUCCUUUCCUUUAGCAUAAUCUGUCUUGCCAUUAAAAAUGACUUCCCCACCAAACCUGGAAUUUUUUUGGCCAUGCCAAGUCUGCAUUUUUCCUGGCCUCAGAAUGGUAUGUAAGCUUUUUUGUCUUAUUGUUGGGUGGGUCCUCAUUCUGAAGGCUCCCAUAUAUACAUGUUAAAUAAAUUUGUAUGACUUUUCUCCUAUUAAUUCGCCUAAGUUCCUUGAUCUGAAAAUUUUUUUCCUGUUUUCUCACCUUAUUUUAUUAAAAAAAGUUCAAAAACAAGCAUAUCUAAAAAUGAGCAUUUUCAUAUCCCAGAAAUCAAGGUAUUUUCCAUAGAUAACCAGAAAAUGCUAUUUAGUAAUUGCCUAACAUCAACACAGAGUGAUAUUAAAACCUUAUUGUGUAAAGUGGAAUUCUGGAAGCUUAGCUUUGAAUACAUUUCAUUUUGUCUGUGAAACAUUGAAGAGUGUGUGUGGUGUUAUGAUAUGUAUUGGUUUUCAUCCAGGGUAAUAAUGUUGGGUGUGUUAGACCUCUGGGGAAGGCCCCUGACCUGCUGCCCUCUUUCCACUCUAAUGUUUCCCCACCUUUUUGAUUGUGGGUCUUAAAACCCUCCCAUGAGAGGGUCCCACUGACUUCAUGAAGACUUUUAGCCUUGGAAAUACUCGUGAUAUUCCCUAUCUGUAGCUGUGUGUCUGAAGUUAGCUCAGAAUAAACCACAAGUGUGUAGAUUGCUAAAAUAACUUACUUCUAAACACUGAAACUCAAAAACUGCAGAUUUCUUUGUCUAAGCAGAUGCAGAAAAGCAGAAGUUAUAAAGCAUCCGGACUCAAACAGGCACCAUCACUGCCUUCUAAAAUUAGUAGCCUUCCUGGCAUAUGAACACCCUUUGGGCCUGUGCUCCAGUGUCUCUUUGGGUUGGUCCUUGGGCUUUUUGUGAAACAUCAAGACACCUCCAUAGUCUAGGCCAAUGUCAGGCUCUCCAGUGUGUCCUGUUCAUCACCCUCACCCUGCACUUUCAUUGUCACUGUCAUUGGCCAUUCCAACAUUGUGCUUGCAUCCUGUGGAAAGUCACAUUUGGGGUCAAGUGGAUGGUGUUGUUUCUACUGUUUGGUUAAAAGUGUCAGGGUGUAUUUGGCCUUCAAGGGAGGAUAAGGCAGGGGUUGGAUUCAGGUGCACCCAACUCUUGUUUUUUUCAUUUUGAGACAGAGUCUUGCUCUGUCGACUAGGUUGGAGAGUGCAAUGGUGUGAUCUCAGUUCAGUGUAACAACCACCUCCCAGGCUCAAGCGAUUCUCCUGCCUCAGCCUCCUGAGUAUCUGGGAUUACAGGGAUUACACCACGAUGCCCAGCUAAUUUAUCUAUUUCUUAAGGUUUCACCAUGUUGGCCAGGCUGGUCUUGAACUCCUGACCUCAAGUGAUCCACUCUCCUUGGCCUCCCAAAGUGCUAAGAUUACAGGUGUGAGCCACCGUACCUGCUCAGGUGCCCCCACCUCUGUCACUGCCCUGUCUUCCCUGCUGUGAAUCAUGCUGUGUGAUCUGACAAUCAAUGAUUCCACCCUUCACUGAUGUGGAUACAUUAUCUGGGACUGGGUAUGUCAUCUCCACACACAGACAGGGUUUGGUCAGUGAUUGAUGCUGCAUCCCGUGAUGCCUGGACUUUGACCUUAGGGAGUUUUAAAUAAGCGUUUCUGAAGAGCAGCUUCAUUGGAACCUUAAUGAAAAUGAAUUUUUCCAUGCCAUUGCAUAACAUAUAAAAGUGACUUUUCCAUGUUGCCAUUAACUUUACAUGGCUGAAAUAAACAGGCUGUUGACAAGUUAGUAUCAACAGCACAUUAUCAGAGAAAGAAAAGGCUGUAUUUAGACAAUUUACAUUAUUAUUGUAAUUUAUUAGCUUCCUGUGACUCACUAAACCAACCUGAAAAAAAUAGCUUUCUAAGGUAUAAAUGAAUUUCUAUGUUUUACCCAACGUACUUUCUGGUAAACAGCACCCAUACAUUUUAUGAAAUAUUUUAGUCUUUAGAGAAUAAGGCAAAAACAGCUCCAGGAGUCUAGAGCUGACAUCCCCUCACCACAAGGCCAAGUCUUUUUUUUUUUUUUUUUUGAGACGGAGUUUUGCUCCUGUUGCCCAGGCUAGAGUGCAAUGGCACAAUCUUGGCUCACUGCAACCUCUGCCCCCCAGAUUCAAGCGAUUCUCCUGUGCCAGCCUCCCAACUAGCUAGGAUUACAGAAGCAGGCCACCACGCCUGGCCAAUUUUUGUAGUUUUAGUAGAGACAGGGGUUUCAUCAUAUUGAUCAGGCCAGUCUUGAACUCCUGACCUCAGGUGAUUCACCUGCUUUGGUUUCUAUCCAGUGUGAGUCCUACCAUGUUUUCGAAGGUGUGAGGUAGAUCUGAAGGUUUUUCCACAUUGCUUACACUCAUAGGGUUUCUCUCCAGUGUGAGUCCUUUCAUGUUAUCGAAAAGAAGUGAAAGAAAUAAAGGCUUUCCCACAUUGCUUACACUCAUAGGGUUUCUCUCCAGUGUAAGAUUUUUCAGGUAUUUGAAAUGACUUGGCAGAAUAAAAGCCUUUCCCACAUAUCUUACAUUUAUAAGGUCUUUCUACAGAGUGCAUUCUUACGUGUGUUUGUGUCCUUUCAUGAAUUCGAAGGUUCUUGGCAGAUCUGAAGGCUUUCCCACAUUGCUUACACUCGUAGGGCUUCUCUUCAGGGUGAGUCCCAGCAUGCAUUUGAAGGAUUGAGGCAGAUCUGAAGGCUUUCCCACAUUGCUUACACUCAUAGGGUUUCUCUCCAGUGUGAGUCCUUUCAUGGUACCAAAAGGAACUGGAACUACUGAAGGCUUUACCACAUUGCUUGCAUUCAUAGGGUUUCUCUGCAGUGUGAGUUUUUUCAUGUCUUUGAAAUGACGUGGGAGAAUAAAAGCCUUUCCCACAUGUCUUACAUUUAUAAGGUCCAUCCCCACUGUGCAUUACCAUGCGUCUUCG
rnacentral:lncRNA from 10 species